rnacentral:lncRNA from 1 species
CAACUGGUCUCCUGCCUCUGUUUCUGCCAUUUCUUCCACUUUCUAUUUAUCAAAUGGCAGCCAGAACAAUCUUUCAGAAACAAAAAAAUUAGAUGAUGUUAUUCCUCUGUUCAAUGUCUCCAGUGGCUCUUAGUCUCAGAACAAAAUACAAAGCCCUUCUCAUCAUCCCCAAGCCUGACAUUGACCCCUUGACCUCCCUCACCUCUGCCUGUACGUCUCCCCUCACUCGUUAUUGCUGAAGCAUCCUUGACUCCUGCUUACCCCAAAUGCCAGGCGCACUCCUAUUUGUACCUGCUGCUCUUUCUACCUGGAACAUUCCACCUCCAGAUGUCUGCAUGGAUCAUUUCCUCACAUCUUUCAGGUCUCUGCUCCAAUGCUAACUGAUCCACGAAGUUCCCUUGACCUCCCCAUACAAUGUUACCCUCUGCCCUCAUUAGCAAUUCUUAAAAAUCAGUCUGGUUGUAGUUUACAGUCUUGUACAUUUUUUUUGUGAUUCUAUCUUGUGCUUUAUUAAACAUCUGACAUGCCGUUAUUUUCUAUUCUGUGCCUCUCAAUUUCAGCAUCAAAAGUCCUCGGGGGACAGAGUUAAAGCUGUUGUUUAUUGAUGCUGCUCUUUUUCAUGGUGCUUUGCUUCCUUGUGUGUUUGGUGAUCUUUGAAUGUGAGUUUAUACAUGGCCUAGCUUAACCUGUGCACCAUCCAAGGCAAUAAAUUAAGAAUACUGUUCUCCAAAGAGGCUUAUGUUUAUUUCUACCUGACUCGAGAGGGCAUGAAGAAUCAGAAAUCUUUCUGGCCCCAUAUGGUUUAGGAGACUCCCCC